rnacentral:sRNA from 2 species
GGGAACAAAGUAGUUCUCAUAUUCAUGCUUCAGGUUCUCUUCAGCAUGUUGAUCAUUUGGCGCAGCUGUUUGAUGAAAGCCCUGGUUGGAAGGGUUAACUUUGUUGUUCACAAAAGCUUGGAAACAACAUAGCGAGCCAUUGAGGAGUAUCUAAGAUCCCAUUUUCUGGUAAGAUCUCAACUUCGGAAGCCGAGGAUUUGUGUGUGCCAUCUCCCUGAAGAGGAUCAAUGACACGAUAGUUCCAUUUGGCUCCCUUAUGAUAAGGACCUGUCUGGAGGCGGAAGACUACAUGUUUCUAAUAAAGAGAAAGCGAACGGCCCUACUCCUGCCACAAGAGCCAACCAAACGACGAAGGAAGAUGAUAUAUGUGCUUCAAAGACGAAUGAGAGAUGGCAAGAUAUGGAUGUAAGGAUCAAGGCACUGAUUCAUUUGACCUCACUAACAUCAUUAGUUUCUCACGUCAGUUCGUUGGAUGACCUUCCAUACAGAAAAAUCGGUGGUUUUCAGAACGAUAGAAGAGUAUGUAGAACUUUUGGAGGAUGGCUUCCUCGAUAAUAUAUGGCUUCAAGUUACCUUGCUGGGAUGGUUGAUCGUGGAAUGGUUGAAUCUUGUACGGAGAUGUGGGGAAAAAAUUCGUCGCACAGGCUAGUCGUUUAGAAGAAUAUCUACCUA